UGAAAAGUCCUGCAAAACAGGUGCAUAUAUGCGUUUGUUAGAAAAACCACUUUCCCAAGCUCCUAUCGCCUUG